UAGCAUAUCAAUAAGCGGAGGAAAAGAAACCAACAGGGAUUACCUCAGUAACGGCGAGUGAAGCGGUAACAGCUCAAAUUUGAAAUCUGGCCCUUUUAGGGUCCGAGUUGUAAUUUGUAGAAGAUGCUUUGGGCGUGGCUCCGGUCUAAGUUCCUUGGAACAGGACGUCAUAGAGGGUGAGAAUCCCGUAUGUGACUGGUAGCUUUCGCCCGUGUAAAGCUCUUUCGACGAGUCGAGUUGUUUGGGAAUGCAGCUCAAAAUGGGUGGUAAAUUUCAUCUAAAGCUAAAUAUUGGCCAGAGACCGAUAGCGCACAAGUAGAGUGAUCGAAAGAUGAAAAGCACUUUGGAAAGAGAGUUAAACAGUACGUGAAAUUGUUGAAAGGGAAGCGCUUGCAACCAGACUCGCAGGCCGUCGAUCAUCUCAGGUUCUCCUGGGUGCACUCGGCGGUCUUCGGGCCAGCAUCGGUUUGGGUGGUGGGAUAAAGGCCUUGGGAAUGUAGCUUCUUUCGGGGAGUGUUAUAGCCCUCGGUGCAAUGCCGCCUACCCGGACCGAGGACCGCGCUUCGGCUAGGAUGCUGGCGUAAUGGUUGYAAGCGACCCGUCUUGAAACACGGACCAAGGAGUCUAACAUCUAUGCGAGUAUUUGGGUGUUAAACCCAUAUGCGUAAUGAAAGUGAACGGAGGUGAGAACCCUUAAGGGUGCAUCAUCGACCGAUCCUGAUGUCUUCGGAUGGAUUUGAGUAAGAGCAUAGCUGUUGGGACCCGAAAGAUGGUGAACUAUGCCUAAAUAGGGUGAAGCCAGAGGAAACUCUGGUGGAGGCUCGCAGCGGUUCUGACGUGCAAAUCGAUCGUCAAAUUUGGGUAUAGGGGCGAAAGACUAAUCGAACCAUCUAGUAGCUGGUUCCUG
rnacentral:rRNA from 1 species